rnacentral:rRNA from 1 species
CCUACGGGUGGCAGCAGUGAGGAAUUUUGCGCAAUGGCCGCAAGGCUGACGCAGCAACGCCGCGUGGGUGAUGAAGGCCUUCGGGUCGUAAAGCCCUGUCAGGUGGGAAGAAAGGUUUCAAGGAGCAACACUUGGGAUUUGACGGUACCACCAGAGGAAGCACCGGCUAACUCCGUGCCAGCAGCCGCGGUAAUACGGAGGGUGCGAGCGUUAUUCGGCAUUACUGGGGGUGAAGAACGAAUAGGCGUGUGAAAGCCCUGGGCUUAACCUGGGAAGGGCAUUGGAAACUGUUUUUCUUGAGUACUGGAGAGGAAGGGGGAAUUCCCGGUGUAGAGGUGAAAUUCGUAGAGAUCGGGAGGAAUACCAGUGGCGUAGGCGCCCUUCUGGACGGUAACUGACGCUGAGACGCGAAAGCGUGGGGAGCAAACAGGAUUAGAUACCCUAGUAGUC